CUUUCAGUUGAUAUCCUUUCACCUCCGUAAGACUCAUAUUGACUUCAUCAUCUUCUCCUUCUCGUGUCACAAACUCUCCUAACUCAAUCUCCAACCACCCGUCGUCUCUAGCUUUCGGCUCCCUCCUUUUCCCGUCUCCGCCUACGGCCUCCACAGUCAUCGCCAUUCGCUCUUCUCGGUUCCCGUAAAAUAGCCGCUUCAUUUGCUGUUUCUUCUCAUCCAAGCAACAUAGAUAAGUUGUGUUCUUAUUAUUUUGACCAUUCUUAGAUUUAACCGAUGUCUCCGCCGGAACUAGGUCUAGUCCGUAAGCACCGUUAGUUACUUUCAUGAUGAGAUAUGCUCCAUAUUUUGUGUUUGGUGAUAAAACUGUGGUUUGAAUUUUACCCUUGAUUUCUAAUCGGUCUGUUGUUAUAAGUUCAGCUGACUCUGAAAAUCUGAAAUUUAAGAAAAAUAUAUAUUUGUUAAUAGAGAUUAAUUAACAAUGUAACAUUGUCAAUAUGUACACAAGCAUAAAUAGUUAUUUUAAGAAAAAAAAAAAAACUGACCUAGAAUCUGAGACAUUGCUCCAAGAGCAGUACGAUGCAUGGUCACUAUAAGUUAUGGAAAUAUCUCUUGCUGAUAAAAUGUAGGAAAUUUUCCCGGAAAAUUUAUUGAUCUUGAACAGCUGAAAUUGCAUCAUACACAAAAGAUAUUUUUAGUUCAAGUAAAUUAAAACGAUAUCUAUUUUUUAUUCAAAGCUAACUCAUAGAAAUCUAACCUUUCGAGCAUUAUCGAUGAGAAGAGAGUCACAUAAACAUCGAUAAAUCUCCUUUUUGGACGAAAAAAUCCGAUGGUGAUCAGUAGAUUGAGAGAUGAGGCUUUUGUAAUGGGACGGUAGAAACUUUUCCCAUACAAAAUCGGAGUCUCCCGCUAACCGGAACACCGAAGAGACUUCCGAUGACGAAAAUGCAUCGGCUGGAGAUGUGAAGGCAAGGAUGUUGGCUACGCAUGCUUCAGCGAUGAUAGAUGAAGUAUGCUUGGAGAUAGAGAUGGUGAGAAUAUAUAGUGAUCAUUGGCAUAUUUCUGCUGACCAUUUUAGACCAAUGGUCAAAUAUUAUGGAUUUAUAUAUUAUUUGUUUGGUGGUUGACCAAAAAUAAAAGAUUGGCCUUCCAAAAGAGAAAGUUCACGCGUAAGAGAAAAGAUUUGUCCUUCGCUUACUAGUAUUUGUUAGUAAAACGUUUAGAGACUUAAACAUGAGACGAACAUAUUUGU